GACGAACGCUGGCGGCGUGCUUAACACAUGCAAGUCGAACGGAAAGGCCCUGCUCUUGUGGGUUUCUCGAGUGGCGAACGGGUGAGUAGCACGUGAGUAACCUGCCCUUGUCUUUGGGAUAACUUCAGGAAACUGGGGCUAAUACCGGAUAUGAGCUCCUGCUGCAUGUGGGGGGUUGGAAAGUUUCGGCGGUUGGGGAUGGACUCGCGGCUUAUCAGCUUGAUGGUGGGGUAGUGGCUUACCAAGGCUUUGACGGGUAGCCGGCCUGAGAGGGUGAACGGCCACAUUGGGACUGAGAGACGGACCAGACGCCUACGGGAGGCAGCGGUGGGGAAUAUUGCACAAUGGGCGGAAGCCUGAUGCAGAAACGCCGCGUGCGGGAUGACCGGCUUCGGGUUGUAAACCGAUUUCGACUGUGACGAAGAGUGAGUGACGGUAAUGGGUAAAAAAGCACCGGCUAACUACGUG
rnacentral:rRNA from 1 species